rnacentral:rRNA from 1 species
UGGGGAAUAUUGGACAAUGGGCGCAAGCCUGAUCCAGCCAUACCGCGUGGGUGAAGAAGGCCUUCGGGUUGUAAAGCCCUUUUGUUGGGAAAGAAAAGCAGUCGGCUAAUACCCGGUUGUUCUGACGGUACCCAAAGAAUAAGCACCGGCUAACUUCGUGCCAGCAGCCGCGGUAAUACGAAGGGUGCAAGCGUUACUCGGAAUUACUGGGCGUAAAGCGUGCGUAGGUGGUUGUUUAAGUCUGUUGUGAAAGCCCUGGGCUCAACCUGGGAAUUGCAGUGGAUACUGGGCGACUAGAGUGUGGUAGAGGGUAGUGGAAUUCCCGGUGUAGCAGUGAAAUGCGUAGAGAUCGGGAGGAACAUCCAUGGCGAAGGCAGCUACCUGGGCCAACACUGACACUGAGGCACGAAAGCGUGGGGAGCAAACAG